CCUACGGGUGGCAGCAGUGAGGAAUAUUGGUCAAUGGGCGGGAGCCUGAACCAGCCAAGUCGCGUGAGGGAUGACGGCCCUAUGGGUUGUAAACCUCUUUUGUCGGGGAGUAAAGUGCUGCACGUGUGCGGUUUUGCGAGUACCCGGUGAAUAAGCAUCGGCUAACUCCGUGCCAGCAGCCGCGGUAAUACGGAGGAGGCAGGCGUUAUCCGGAGUGAUUGGGCGUAAAGGGUGCGUAGGUGGUUUGGCAAGCGAGUAGCGUAAUUCCGGGGCUCAACUUCGGAACUACUGCUAAAACUGCAGGGCUUGAGUGCGGGAGAGGCAGGUGGAAUUCCUGGUGUAGCGGUGGAAUGCGUAGAUAUUAGGAAGAACACCGAUGGCGAAGGCGGUAUGCUGAACUGUAACUGACACUGAGGCACGAAAGCGUGGGGAGCGAACAGGAUUAGAUACCCUUGUAGUC
rnacentral:rRNA from 1 species